UAUACUGCAAAUUCAUCCACCAUGGGCUCCUCAAGGUGGCCUCUGACUUGCUUUGAAUUUGUGCAGGUAAAAGAUUUCACUGCAAGGACCAAAUGAAUGUCACAGAAGACCUCACAAGUACAGAGUGGAAAGAUUUUGUAGGUUCUAGCUAUCAGAUGAACUCCCAUGGGAAAUUCAAACUGAGAAGGUACAACAAGAUCAACAAACAAUGCUGACUUGCAUAAGAACUGGAAAAACCACAGCAAAACCCAUGAAAACAGAGGACUGCUGAGCUACAAGAAAAUGAAGGGUACAAGGAAUGACUGCAGGAAAAAUGAGGGUUCAGAAUCACAGUUAUCCUGCAGGCUCUCCAUCACAGAGGAGAGGCCAACAUCUCCACCAGGAAAGGACAGUGCUGGUACAGAAGCAGAUGGCUCCUGUUUGACCAAGAGAGACGUGAUUCAGCACCUGUCCCUGGGCAGAAGAAACUCAUUUGGCAGAGGGCUGCAGCAGAGCCUUGAGCAGGCUGGUACAGGCACCCUCCUGUCAGAGAGCAGCUCCUCUGCAAUGCAGCUGAUCUCCAAGGGUGCACACUGGUGCCAAAUUGCCUAUGGCCAGAUUCAUAGCUAAGAUUCAGUGUGCAUUUGCUUGAUUUAUUUUGUUUUCCAUUACAUUCUUGCUGCUCUUUUUUUUUUUCCAGACAGCAGCCUAUGAUUUUAAUGGGAUGUGCCUUGUUAAAUGCUGUUUAACACUCUGAAUGCACCCACAGGAUCUAUUUUGCCUAUUUUAAAGUGAUGCUAUAAAGUUUCUAAAUCCAU
rnacentral:lncRNA from 1 species